UUACAAGUAAGUUUGUUGUGACCUAGUUUCUUGCACCUACUGCACUUGACAAUGAAACCAACUCUUCUCAUUUUAAGAUCAGAGCCAUCAAUCUCUCCUUACUCUAGAUUCCUCCUCUUCUUUGGUCUUCCAUGCAUUUUCCUAUACUUAGGUGGUUACACACCAGGAUACUCUGUUCUAACCCACAAAUUUGAUCCAUUUACAGGAUAAAUCACAUGUUUGUAGACUGCCAUGUAUCUUGAUUUCCUGUAAUACUCACAGAUAUAGUCAUCAACCUU
rnacentral:lncRNA from 1 species